AUCAGCGGUCAUGGAGAGUCUCCAUCCAGCUGGAUCACUGUCACAGACAAACACACCACCACACCUCCACCUACACCAGCCUCCAUUAUUACCUCUCCUCCUGAUUCAUUCUUGCUUCUCCCUGUGUUGUUACCUGUUGGAUCAGUGUGUGUUGUGGUUCUGCUGGUGUUAGUGGUUCUGUUGGUGAGACAACGUGUUUGUAGGAAGUCUGCAGUUGAUUUGGAAAAACUUGAAGAUGGCCUUACAUACAGUGAUCUCAAACAAUUACAUCACCAACAACAGUCAGUUAAACUCAACACAGGGAGUGAUUCAGCUGUAGUCUACACAGCAGUGAGAACUGAAGACAUCAGUUAUGAACAAACAGAAAUCCGAUCAAACAAACCUGGAGACUUUGUACAAGAGCCAGAUGUUUACUCCUUACUGACGUAAUCCACCAGUCCAACCACUGGAACCAGCUGCUGGUCUCAAACGUUUUAAAAAAUCAUUAUAUUGUAUGUUCAAAAGCAUGUUGUCCUCAACCUGCUCUUAACUGUCUUAUGAUGGCCAUAUUGGCAAUAUCUCUUCCAUAAUAUAGAAAUGAUACUAUGUAUUUUAUAAAUAAUGCAUAAUGCACUGUCUUUAAUAUUUUUACUGUUUCCUGUUAUAUUUUUAUUUCCAAGUGUAAGACUCUGUCGUUGCCUGCUUUCUCGCAGGAACAAUAAAGUUUGUUCUCACUUCUUGUU